CAGUAGCCACGGUAACACGAAGGUCCCGAGCGUUGUUCGGAAUCACUGGGCGUAAAGGGAGCGUAGGCGGCGUGGUAAGUCAGAUGUGAAAUCCCGGGGCUCAACCCCGGAACUGCAUCCGAUACUGCCAUGCUAGAGGAUUGGAGAGGUAGCUGGAAUUCUUGGUGUAGCAGUGAAAUGCGUGGAGAUCAAGAGGAACACUCGUGGCGAAAGCGAGCUACUGGACAAUAACUGACGCUGAGGCUCGAAGGCCAGGGUAGCGAAAGGGAUUAGAUACCCGUGUAGUCCCUGUCUCUUAUAC
rnacentral:rRNA from 1 species